rnacentral:lncRNA from 1 species
UUAACUCCCUUCAGGCAAUAACUUGGGUCCAUCCGGUGCCUUGUUGGCACCUUCGUGGCAUGUCACUCCUGAUACAAGGCUGGGAGGGGGUCUCCAGACCUUUUUGGUGUGGAGAGAUGAGGGGAAGGCAGGGUUUCUACAUGUCCUGUCCCGUGAGCGACUUCUCCGCAUGCUCAAAGUCCUUCUCUUGAUUUUUCAUAGGAAAAAAACCACCCCACUUAAUCAAAGAGGAGCGGCUGAGGGAGCUGGGGGUGUUCAGCCUGGAGAAAAGGAGGCUGAGGGGAGACCUUCUCUCUCUCUCUACAACUCCAUGGAAGGAGGGCAGUCAGUCUCUUCUCCCAAGGAUCAGGCAAUAGGACAAGAUGAAACAGCCUCAAGUCGCACCAGGGGAGGUUUAGGAUGGAUAUUAGGAGAAAUUUCUUAACAGAAAGGGUUGUCCAGCAUUGGAAGAGGCUGCCCAGGGACAUGGUGGAGUUGCCACCCCUGGAGGAAUGUAAAACCCAUGUCGACGUGGUGGUGGAGGACAUGGUUUAGUGGUGGUGUUUGUCAGUGUUAGGUUAACAGUUAGACUCGAUGAUCUUAAAGGUCCCUUCCAACCUUGACCAUUCCAUAAUCCUAUGAAAUAAAGCCCUCGGGACAAGCCCUUACGGCAAACCAUGGAUGGCUCCUGUCCUUAUCACCACCCAAUCAUCAUCCUUUCACGUUAGCCCCAGGGCUUGUUCCCACUGCUGUAAGUAAGGGCAAAUCAGGUGUCGGCUCACUCUGUCGGACACAGCCCAUAGAAAUUCUUGGCAGGGUGCUCUUCCUUUCGGGGCUGGAAGCCAAGCGCUGGAGAGAAAGGAGGAAAACAGCUCAUUAUGGCUGCCGCGGGAUGAGAACCUUCCCCAUUUUUCCCACGCACUCAAGGCUGGACCCAGUACCUUGGGGGACAUCAUGAUGAUCUGCUCAUUUUGGGUGCGUUCUCUGAAAAGGAAGCCUACAACAGAAAGGAGAAGAUCCCGUUUACAGCUACAAAUGAGCAUGUUUCUCAUCUCUCCCCUGUCUUGCAUUUUUAGCCAAGUUGUACGUCGCCGCGCUAGCUCCUCGGAGCCCCUGGGACACGUUCACAAGAAUUUUUUGUGGUGGGACACUGACUCCCCACAGAGCUUUCCCCGCUCUUUUCCCCCCUUCUCUGGUGGAAACCAGGGGAUUUCAUCCUUCUGGUUCUCACCUGUUCUACAGCAGACUUCCCUGCUCUGUUUCCACUGAAACAAUCCUGUUUCACAGACUCUCCCCAGAGAGAGCGCUUAGUAAAUCCUUUUAAUUAAGGCCAUGUUUGCGUCCCUUAGUUACGGAGGAACAAAAGAUUUCAGCUGGAACACCGGCCAAAAUGUUUUCUUCACGGUACUAAGUAGUCACGGAGAAGCCAGAUGAAGAGUUGGCAAACUACUUCUUUCUAGUGCCCACAUUGCAUAUUGCCACCAAAAGCUCAUUUGGGUGGCAAACGUGGAGUCUCAGGUGCGUUUGGAUGACAUGUCACAGCUGCUCAAGCUUUGCUGGUGGCAACACAAAUCAUCUUGGAGAACCACCAGCUGCCAUCCCUUCUACCCAGUCUUGGGGUGGAGCGGGUUAAAAUUUGCCCACAGUACUGUUCUAAAGAAGUUGGGUCAUAAAUCUCUUGGAUGAUAAAUCUGCUUGUGGAUUAUAAAUCACAUUAACUGUGUUUUAGCGGUUUUCAAGGAGGUGUUUACCAAAGUACAACCCAUGCCUUCAAUGAGGUCCUGGAGGCUUCCUGAGGGCAACUGUGGUCCCUCCUGGUGGGCCAGGCAGCAGCUAUAAGACACAGCACUGGUGGAGAAAAAGACUGGAGAGGGGCAGGUGAGCAGCUUCAUGCCACAGAGAUUCUCCAAACCCAAGCCGUGCAGCAGGUCUCCAGCAAAAACGGGUGAGACUGAGCCAUGGUUGCACCUCAAAACAUCUUGAGAAGACAUGACGGCACCUCCCCAAACAAGGGUUUUUUCCAUUUCUUGAUCAGAAACUGUGACUCCAAGGCUUGUGAGUCCUCCUCAUGCUUGUCUGGGCUGCCUGUACUCUGGGCAGUGAAGGAGGGUACCACCUUUGUGCCCUGUGUGCCAAGUGGCAUCACCUCUGGGAGGGCAUCAGCACUGCUCCCAACAUCUUAAAUCCGGAUCACCUUGCUAUUGGGGCAGAACCAUAAAAUCAUUUAGUUUGGAAAAGACCUCUAAGAUCAUCUAACCAUUAACCUAACACUGCCAAGUCCACCACUAACCCGUGUCCCUCAGCACCACGUCCACACAGCUUUUAAAUACCUCCAGGGAUGGUGACUCCACCAUUUCCCUGGGCAGCCUGUUCCAAGGCUUAACAACCCUUUCAGUGAAGAAUUUUUUCCUAAUAUCCAAUCUAAACCUCCCCUGAUGUGGGCACACAACAAGCCCAGAAGAAAUAUUCCUUGCCCCAGAAAGUCCCUUGUCAAAGUAAGUGCAAUCGAUAAUUGCUGAGCAUCAUUGCUCAGCACCUCAGAAAUAGGCAGCAGGGUUGGAAACUUGGUACCUGAAGGUGGCUUUUGGAUGACAAUGAGCAGCCUGAAAGAACAACCUCAUAUAGGGCAUCGGAGAUAGCUGGAGCUACUGAAGGACAGGAGACCUGGGAUGUCUCCACUGCCUUGGGCAGAGGCACAUAAUGGGAGCGCAUAAUGCAAUGUACUUUGAAAUGAAAAAGUAAAAAAAUUCAAAAAAUGACACAAUGAGUUGUAUUUUGCCCCACCAACAGCUUCCAAAAGCCAACUGCAGUUGGUGUUCUGCAGCUGGGUCUCGAUCACGUGAAAGCGAUCACUUCACAGCCAGGCUUCCCACCUCAACCUCUGUCAGAGAGCGCUUUCUCCUUUUCUUUUUUGACCCCAGUUUUCUUAAGCCACAUGGUGAAACAUAGAAUCAUAGAAUCAUCUAGGUUGGAAGGGACCUUCAAGAUCAUCUAGUCCAACCAUCAAUCUAACUCUGACAAAAAAGCCAUCACUAAACAUGAGCGAGUUUAAUCUUCUACUACAUAGCUUUGCCAGAUAAAUCCAGAAACAACCAGGAAUGUGUGGUUUGGUUGUUGGUUUUUUUUUUUUUUUAUCAAGGCCAAUAAAUAUUCUCCGCUUGAGUGAAGAGGCUUUUAG